GGGCAUGUAGCGCAGUUGGUAGCGCGCUCGCUUAGCAGGUCAAGUCCGGAUUCGAACCGAAACGGAUUACGUAAGGAUUGCAUGCGAGAGGUCUCCGGUUCAAAUCCGGACUUGUCCA